GAUGAACGCUAGCUACAGGCUUAACACAUGCAAGUCGAGGGGAAACGACAUCGAAAGCUUGCUUUUGGUGGGCGUCGACCGGCGCACGGGUGAGUAACGCGUAUCCAACCUGCCCACCACUUGGGGAUAACCUUGCGAAAGUAAGACUAAUACCCAAUGAUAUCCCACGAAGGCAUCCGAAUGGGAUUAAAGAUUUAUCGGUGAUGGAUGGGGAUGCGUCUGAUUAGCUUGUUGGCGGGGUAACGGCCCACCAAGGCGACGAUCAGUAGGGGUUCUGAGAGGAAGGUCCCCUACAUUGGAACUGAGACACGGUCCAAACUCCUACGGGAGGCAGCAGUGAGGAAUAUUGGUCAAUGGACGAGAGUCUGAACCAGCCAAGUAGCGUGCAGGAUGACGGCCCUAUGGGUUGUAAACUGCUUUUAUAAGGGGAUAAAGUGAGCCACGUGUGGCUUAUUGCAGGUACCAUAUGAAUAAGGACCGGCUAAUUCCGUG
rnacentral:rRNA from 1 species